CACUGCUCGCGCGUUUACUCUUCCUUUCGUUGCUGGCCGAACGCAAUUUUCCCACCAAUUUCCUGAACGAUUCCCCUAUCUUAUAUUUCGAAUGGCCGGAACCUCGAAUACGAAAAGAGAGAAGAAUUCAUAUAUAAACAGGACGAGCAGGUGUCGAGGUGGGGAUCUCGCUCGACUUCUUGUUGUUGCGGAAAUUCGACUUGGACGCGGGCGAAGGUGACCGAGAUCUCGAUACCGAUUUCUUCCGAUUCUCUUGCUCGGCCGUCUGGACAUCUCGAUUGCGGCUCUCCCACGUUCUCUGCACAACGUGGACCGGGCUGGAGGCUCGGCCCGGUGUCGGCUCGUUUAAGCGUUCGUUUUUCUCUUCGGGCCUCCACUGAGAAAGAGAAAAGAGAGAUGAACGUCGGCCGGGUAACCGAGUGUAUCGCGCUUAUCGACUGCAAGCACACCUGCUCUUUCGAUCUUCGUCGAGCGGGCGGCGGCGGCGUGCGUGGUCGAUUCUCGGACGAUUCUUGGUGCUCGCGGCGGAGAACGGAUUCGUACGUUUUCGAGUAGGUCGACUCGACUUGGCCCCUCGAGUGAUCCGCGUGUCCAUUCGUGUGAAUCGUCUCCACGUAUUGGGACGGGGAGCUCGUUCUCCCUUGAUUUUGCCUCUCUGACGUUGUCAACAAGGAUUUGAUCGAGGCGAGUUUUUACAUGGAAAUAUAAAAAUACUUCAAAAACGAA